AUACGGAGGGGGCUAGCGUUGUUCGGAAUUACUGGGCGUAAAGCGCGCGUAGGCGGACCAGUCAGUCAGGGGUGAAAUCCCGGGGCUCAACCCCGGAACUGCCUUUGAUACUGCUGGUCUUGAGUUCGAGAGAGGUGAGUGGAAUUCCGAGUGUAGAGGUGAAAUUCGUAGAUAUUCGGAGGAACACCAGUGGCGAAGGCGGCUCACUGGCUCGAUACUGACGCUCAGGUGCGAAAGCGUGGGGAGCAAACAGGAUUAGAUACCCCUGUGUCC
rnacentral:rRNA from 1 species